UUUGAAUUGUAUUGUGGAAAUGUAUUACCAACAGAGGUGCAGGUGCCAGCCUAUUGAAAUAAAGCGUCAAUGAGGGUGAGAAUCCUGUUUGUCAUGUGCAGCCCUUUGUGCACGGUGUAUAUUUGCUGAGUCACACUCCUUGGCAUUGGAAUGCAAAGUGGGUGGUAAGUUUCAUGUAAAGGUAAACAUGCAAUUGAGACUGAUAGCACACAAGUACCAUGAGGGAAAUAUGAAAAGGACUUUGAAAAGAGAAUUAAAUGAGUUUGUAUUUGCUGAACACAAAGUAAACAAACUUGAUUUGCUUGGUGGGAGUGUUGCACUUGCUUGACAAGAGCUUUGGGCUGUGGGUGUAAUGAUUCUUUCUUUGCAUGCCAGUUUCUAUUUGUACAUCUAAUUACCUUUGCACAUGAAUGAUAAGUCUCCUGUGGGGGGUGGAUUGCAUGUGCAUGUAAUGAUUUGUGUUUUGAUAAAUGUGUCUGGUGUAUGUGUGUGUUCCUGUGCUUGGGGAUGCUUCCUUCCUUGGACUUACAAGCCCUGACACACACAUGCUGGCAAAAUGCUUCUGCUUGACCCGUCU
rnacentral:rRNA from 1 species